UACGGGGGGGGCAAGCGUUGUUCGGAAUUACUGGGCGUAAAGGGCCAGUAGGCGGCCAACUAAGUCCGACGUGAAAUCCCAAGGCUUAACCUUGGAACUGCGUCGGAUACUGGAUGGCUUGAAUUCGGGAGAGGGAUGCAGAAUUCCAGGUGUAGCGGUGAAAUUCGUAGAUAUCGGGAGGAACACCAGUGGCGAAGGCGGCGACCUGGGCCAAUACUGACGCUGAGGUGCGAAAGCGUGGGGAGCAAACAGG
rnacentral:rRNA from 1 species